AGCGAACGCUGGCGGCAGGCUUAACACAUGCAAGUCGAGCGGGCGUAGCAAUACGUCAGCGGCAGACGGGUGAGUAACGCGUGGGAACGUACCUUUUGGUUCGGAACAACACAGGGAAACUUGUGCUAAUACCGGAUAAGCCCUUACGGGGAAAGAUUUAUCGCCGAAAGAUCGACCCGCGUCUGAUUAGCUAGUUGGUGAGGUAACGGCUCACCAAGGCGACGAUCAGUAGCUGGUCUGAGAGGAUGAUCAGCCACAUUGGGACUGAGACACGGCCCAAACUCCUACGGGAGGCAGCAGUGGGGAAUAUUGGACAAUGGGGGCAACCCUGAUCCAGCCAUGCCGCGUGAGUGAUGAAGGCCCUAGGGUUGUAAAGCUCUUUUGUGCGGGAAGAUAAUGACGGUACCGCAAGAAUAAGCCCCGGCUAACUUCGUG
rnacentral:rRNA from 1 species